rnacentral:snRNA from 1 species
ACCACUUUUUGACUAAAAUCAUUAUCUGUUUAAAAUCAGAUAUGUACUCUAUUAAAUUGGUUUUUGGAGUAGGGAGAUGGAACAGGAGCUUGUUUCAUCCAUUCCAUACAACAACCUGGUAUCACAGUACUUCCAGGAAUGGUGUACCCCUC